GAAUUGCCAAAAAAAACCUAUCAGUGCAUCGCUCCCAUUGAACCAACAGUAAAAUUUAAGAAUGCAGAGAUUAUGUGCGAAGUUCCGCUCUUUGGCCGGGCAAUCAACCCAAACCCUGACCACCUUCUCCUCAUCUCAUCGCUUCCUACACACUUCUUCACAAGUUCGCCAACCUCUCUUUUUCACAUCAGCUUCGCGAAAGUUUAACCUUAGCAGCCAACUUUUUAACGCAUCUUCACCACCGAAUCUGUUCCAAUCUCCUUCUGCGGCUUUUCAAUUGCCAUUGCCUCCUUCUGUAGCCCUUCUCUCUUUGAUGCACGUGCGUCAUGUUUCAUCAAGGGAGCGCCGAAAGAAGCGGAAGCCAAUGACUCCAGUCACCUCCAAAGUCAAGAAAAUCAAAAUAAAAUUUUAUUCGUCCUACAAGGACAGAUUUCGGACAAUGAAUGAUGGGACUAUCAGACGCUGGAGGGAGGGCAAGAAUCAUAAUGCACACUUGAAGUCAAAGAAAUCAAAACGGAGACUGAGACAGCCUUCUACUGUCCCUGCAGCUUAUGCCAAAGUUAUGAAGAAACUUAAUUUCUGUUAGAAUUGUUGCGAAUAUUCAAAGGUGAGGCAAAUGUUUUAAGAGCGAAAGUUUUUCUGGCAAUGAUUUCACUCAUCUUGGCAUUUUGUUUGAACAAUUGAUAAUAGCUUCACCAUUUCAUGUCUGAUUUCCUUUAAUUUUAUUUGCAAAUGUGGAUUAACUAAUACUUUUAACAGAGUCGAAUAGCGAAAAAGGAUCCACAUAGUCAAUGGCAG
rnacentral:misc_RNA from 1 species